CAGCCUUAAACUUAUGAGUAAGGAAAAUAACAUCCUGAGUAACGUCGGGGUAUUGCAACUAUAUUGCUUUAAAUAUGUGGAGGGUGGCAGGCUGCCCUUGGGUUUGAUACGCCUACUUUGAGUAACGCCCUUGUUGCUGCGGCCUCUGCA